GUAGGUGAACCUGCGGAAGGAUCAUUAAUGAAUUUAACGGUCUCUCUGAGACCAUCAUAUUCACAUUCACCUGUGCUCCCAUUUCCUUUGAGAGGGGGAAGUGGCUUGCUCUUUCCUUUGGAGAUUUAGAAUUGUCAAGCAAAAAGCCCUAGAAUAAACCUGGUUUUACACAGGCAAGUUCAAGGCAAUACAAAAAAUUAAAACUAUGAACAACGGAUCUCUUGGCUCUU
rnacentral:misc_RNA from 1 species